AAAAAAGGUAAGCUACUAAGAGCGAAUGGUGGAUGCCUUGACUGGUAAAGGCGAUGAAGGACGUACUAGACUGCGAUAAGCUACGGGGAGCUGUCAAGAAGCUUUGAUCCGUAGAUUUCCGAAUGGGGCAACCCAAUGUAUAGAGAUAUACAUUACCUAUAUAGGAGCGAACGAGGGGAAUUGAAACAUCUUAGUACCCUCAGGAAAAGAAAUCAAUAGAGAUUGCGUCAGUAGCGGCGAGCGAAAGCGCAAGAGGGCAAACCCAGUGCUUGCACUGGGGGUUGUAGGACUGCAAUGUGCAAGAGGUAAGUUUAGCAGAACAUUCUGGAAAGUAUAACCAUAGAGGGUGAUAGUCCCGUAUGCGAAAAACAAACCUUAGCUAGCAGUAUCCUGAGUAGGGCGGGACACGAGGAAUCCUGUCUGAAUCCGGGUCGACCACGAUCCAACCCUAAAUACUAAUACCAGAUCGAUAGUGCACAAGUACCGUGAGGGAAAGGUGAAAAGAACUGAGGUGAUCAGAGUGAAAUAGAACCUGAAACCAUUUGCUUACAAUCAUUCAGAGCCCUAUGUAGCAAUACAGGGUGAUGGACUGCCUUUUGCAUAAUGAGCCUGCGAGUUGUGGUGUCUGGCAAGGUUAAGCAAACGCGAAGCCGUAGCGAAAGCGAGUCUGAAUAGGGCGCUUAGUCAGAUGCUGCAGACCCGAAACGAAGUGAUCUAUCCAUGAGCAAGUUGAAGCUAGUGUAAGAACUAGUGGAGGACUGAACCCAUAGGCGUUGAAAAGCCCCGGGAUGACUUGUGGAUAGGGGUGAAAGGCCAAUCAAACUUCGUGAUAGCUGGUUCUCUCCGAAAUAUAUUUAGGUAUAGCGUUGUGUCGUAAUAUAAGGGGGUAGAGCACUGAAUGGGCUAGGGCAUACACCAAUGUACCAAACCCUAUCAAACUCCGAAUACCUUAUAUGUAAUCACAGCAGUCAGGCGGCGAGUGAUAAAAUCCGUCGUCAAGAGGGAAACAACCCAGACUACCAGCUAAGGUCCCUAAAUCUUACUUAAGUGGAAAACGAUGUGAAGUUACUUAAACAACCAGGAGGUUGGCUUAGAAGCAGCCAUCCUUUAAAGAAAGCGUAAUAGCUCACUGGUCUAGUGAUUUUGCGCGGAAAAUAUAACGGGGCUAAAGUAAGUACCGAAGCUGUAGACUUGCACACAACUUAGAUUAUUUAAGUUUAGAAUAUGAGAAACUAAGUUAUAUGUUUAGUUAUAUUUUUACUGAUUUUUAUAGAGUAAAGAUAGAAAUAAAACUUAGUAAAAUCAGUAAAAAUAUUCUUAGACUAAAGUUAAGUAGUUUAAGUUGUGUGCAAGUGGUAGGAGAGCGUUCUAUUUGCGUCGAAGGUAUACCGGUAAGGAGUGCUGGAGCGAAUAGAAGUGAGCAUGCAGGCAUGAGUAGCGAUAAUUAAUGU
rnacentral:rRNA from 1 species